rnacentral:misc_RNA from 1 species
GAUGAAGAACGCAGCGAAAUGCGAUACGUAAUGUGAAUUGCAAAUUCAGUGAAUCAUCGAGUCUUUGAACGCACAUUGCGCCCCCUGGUAUUCCGGGGGGCAUGCCUGUCCGAGCGUCAUUGCUGCCCUCAAGCACGGCUUGUGUGUUGGGCCCCGUCCUCCGAUCCCGGGGGACGGGCCCGAAAGGCACCGGCGGCACCGCGUCCGGUCCUCGAGCGUAUGGGGCUUUGUCACCCGCUCUGUAGGCCCGGCCGGCGCUUGCCGAUCAACCCAAAUUUUUAUCCAGGUUGACCUCGGAUCAGGUAGGGAUACCCGCUGAACUUAAGCAUAUCAAUAAGCGGAGGA